GUUCUGUAGGUUCUGUGUGGUUCUGUAGGUUCUGUGUGGUUCUGUAGGUUCUGUGUGGUUCUGUGUGGUUCUGUGUGGUUCUGUAGGUUCUGUAGGUUCUGUGUGGUUCUGUGUGGUUCUGUAGGUUCUGUGUGGUUCUGUAGGUUCUGGGUGGUUCUGUA